AUAUGUUCAAUCCCAGAAAGAUCAUGCGUUAUGAUAACGCCCAGGUACCUAUAUUCCUCGACUUCGGAUAAGGGUUGAGAGGCAAGAUCAUAAGUAAACGGUAAAGGGUGCUUUUUUAGUAAUUCUCAUAGAAACUGUUUUAUUAGUGUUGAGCUCCAUGUUCCACUGCUGGCACCAGUAAUGAAUGCGCUGAAGGGUAGAAUUUAAGAGG
rnacentral:lncRNA from 1 species